rnacentral:tRNA from 1 species
GCCGAGAUGGUGGAAUAGGCAUACACAGCAGACUUAAAAUCUGCCGGCGAAAAGCUUGCGAGUUCAAGUCUCGCUCUCGGCA